UACAGAGGUCCCAAGCGUUGUUCGGAUUCACUGGGCGUGAAGGGUGCGUAGGCGGCCGGGUAAGUCUGAUGUGAAAUCCCGCAGCUUAACUGCGGAACUGCAUCGGAUACUCUCCGGCUAGAGGAAUGGAGGGGAGACUGGAAUUCUCGGUGUAGCAGUGAAAUGCGUAGAUAUCGAGAGGAACACCAGUGGCGAAGGCGAGUCUCUGGACAUUUCCUAACGCUGAGGCGCGAAAGCUAGGGGAGCGAACGGG
rnacentral:rRNA from 1 species